GACGAACGCUGGCGGUGUGCUUAACACAUGCAAGUCGAACGGAAAGGCCCUGCUUUUGUGGGGUGCUCGAGUGGCGAACGGGUGAGUAACACGUGAGCAACCUGCCCUUGACUUUGGGAUAACUUCAGGAAACUGGGGCUAAUACCGGAUAGGAGCUCCUGCUGCAUGGUGGGGGUUGGAAAGUUUCGGCGGUUGGGGAUGGACUCGCGGCUUAUCAGCUUGUUGGUGGGGUAGUGGCUUACCAAGGCUUUGACGGGUAGCCGGCCUGAGAGGGUGACCGGCCACAUUGGGACUGAGAUACGACCCAGACUCCUACGGGAGGCAGCAGUGGGGAAUAUUGCACAAUGGGCGGAAGCCUGAUGCAGCAACGCCGCGUGCGGGAUGACGGCCUUCGGGUUGUAAACCGCUUUCGCCUGUGACGAAGCGUGAGUGACGGUAAUGGGUAAAGAAGCACCGGCUAACUACGUG
rnacentral:rRNA from 1 species